rnacentral:antisense_RNA from 1 species
CUUGAGCGAGCCCAGCCACAGCGGGCGGUCCGGCUCCCGGCCCUGGCCGUAGGUGGCGAGCAGCGCCUGCGCCUC